rnacentral:rRNA from 1 species
UACGUAGGGUGCGAGCGUUAAUCGGAAUUACUGGGCGUAAAGCGUGCGCAGGCGGUUUUGUAAGCCAGAUGUGAAAUCCCCGGGCUCAACCUGGGAAUGGCAUUUGGGACUGCAAGGCUGGAGUGUGGCAGAGGAGACUGGAAUUCCUGGUGUAGCAGUGAAAUGCGUAGAUAUCAGGAGGAAUACCGAUGGCGAAGGCAGCCCCCUGGGUCAAAACUGACGCUCAUGCACGAAAGCGUGGGGAGCAAACAGG